UGAGGGUUUACUUUACUCAGAACAAGUACCUUUGGUGACCGUGAAUCCGUGAUGCACACUUGUGACUUUCACCAAAAACAACCAUUUUUUCCUUUUUGGGGUCAAGGGCUUAUAAAAAACUAAAAAACUAAAAAAAUUCAAAAACUCAUUCUCCUCGCUCAUCAGAUCUCUCUCCGCCACUCAUCGAAGAAGAAAGCACUUGAUCUGUUUUCAUCCAGCAGUAGAGAUGAAGAACAAUAAGCCAGAGGUAACGGUGGUUGUUGAUGCAGCGGCGAGGAGAAAGAACAGCAGAAGCGGUUAGUGGUGUUGCUGCCGUCGGUGAAGAAGGAGCAGCUGCCAGGAAGUUGACGACACCGGUGAAGAGAACGGUGAAGAUCACUGAGGAUAUAUCUAAGCUGCCGAUUGCAUCCCUCAAGGAUACCAUUGUGUCAACUGUUGAAUCUCACCAGGUUAAUUUACUAUUUGCUCUGUAAAAUUGUCUUAGACAUGCUUUUGCUUGAUAGCUGGCUUGAUGAUUGAACAAUAAUGAAGCUUAUCACAUAAUACAUUACAUUAAUUUAUUAUUGCAUAUUAUAGUUAAGUAAGACUUUUGUUUCAAAUCCAUUUCAAUAUAGGAAUUAAUGAAGUGCACAAUAUAAGAAUUAAACAGAAGUCUCGGAAAUCAUCGCGCAUCACCUUUUGCUUUUGUUGACCUUUGGCCAAUGCUUGAUUCGGAUUUGUUUUUGGCAUUGUCCAUUGUCCCCCUGCUUUUGGUGAAGAUGAUUUCCGAGUUUGCAUUGAGAAGCACAUUCUUAGGAAGGUUAGUACUGCUAUGAACUUGAAAUUGUUAAAAGGUAUGCUUCUCUAUGGUGUUUGAUGUCAGAACCAACUUGGAUUGUAAAAUCAUUUCUGUGGGGGAGUUUGUAUGCAUCUGUUUGUAAAAGAACAUGUAGAUCUACUAAUUUUUUAGACCAUUUUAUGUUGCUGGAUCCAUGUUUACAAGUUUCAAUUUUGUAAAACUGUCAUGUUUGUUGUUGUUAUGUUUUAUUUAUCAUAUACCAAAUUGAAAACUACUAUGACUGUUUAUUUAUCUUGCAUGUGCUACUCCAUUUUUGGUUUGUUAAGGUGGAGUUAUUGAAAGAGAAAUUAUUGGAAAAUAUUCAGCAGACU